AAGGUACCCCUUCCGUCCGGAAAUACUUGUCCUAUGAAAGGUUGUAUCUAGACUUAUUUUAGUUAUAGAUACAUCCAUUUUAUCCAUUUCUAGGACAAGUAUUUCCGGACGGAGGGAGUAUAAU
rfam:Triticum urartu cultivar G1812 contig482122, whole genome shotgun sequence.